rnacentral:lncRNA from 1 species
GGAAUCAUGAAGGAUUUUAAAAUCUGGUCUGAUUUAUAGUGUUUUGUUUGAUAAUUUCUGGAUUUUUUGAGUCAUAUUUGGCUGGGAUUGGUGCUGUUUUCUGCCGAUUUUAUCGCUUACUUUGCUGAGCUCUAGGUACACACUGAAGCCUUUAUGUUCAUAUUUGAUUUAUGAAAUCAAUUAGUUGAAAUUACUUUUUAAGGUGAUGGAUGAUUCCUAUUGAACUUGAAUUUUGUGUUAUGAGUUAUAUUCCUUGAUUACUAUAUUGCUGGCAGCUUUUUUCGAUUUGUCCCUUAUAUUUCAGCAUGAUUC